UUUGUAAAGAAAAUGAUAUUUCAAAUUGACUACAACUCCCAAAAGUCUAGGAAAUCCUCUCGCAAUCAUGUGGUUGUAAGGUUGAAAUUUGAAAGUGAAUUUAUGUAUACUACUGUAACCUACUAUAGAUGCGGAUGUAGGCUUCUGUAUUACACAGCUGGGAGCAUUACAAAGUGGUUUGGUCGAAGGGUUUUACAUGUACCACACUAAGUCUGUAUUUUAAUAGGGUAGUUAUUUUCACCAUUAAAAUGUUUACUUCCCUAGACCAGCACAUGCGAUUUAGCACAGAAUUGCUCGUGUUCGAUGUAUUAUUGAUACUGACUAUUUUAACAAUAUGGUUGUUCAGAACACGGCAGAUUAGGUGUAUGCACGAAACUGGCGGAGCUAUGCUUUAUGGUUUGAUUCUGGGUUUAACUCUGAAAUAUACUGGCAGUCAGUGGAACCAUGAGGCUGGGGAUGUUCAUGGCUGUGAAAGUCUAAACCACACCUCACCUCACCUGGCUGCCAACACUACAGUGGACCAUGACAGGCACAAGCAUGUUGGCAUGAUGGCCUUUGCCCCAGAAGUCUUCUUCAAUUUGUUUCUGCCGCCCAUCAUAUUUCAAGGAGCCUACAGUUUAAACCAGAGGCAUUUCUUCCAGAAUUCUGGCUCUGUGUUGACCUUUGCUUUUUUGGGAACUGUCAUCUCCUCUGCAGUUGUAGGGGCCAGCAUGUACGGCUUCGUGAAGCUGAUGGUGCUCCUGGGUCAGGCGAGAGACGGCGAUUUCCUCCUGACAGACUGCCUCUUCUUCGGGGCGCUGAUAUCGGCCACUGAUCCAGUGACCGUGCUGGCCAUCUUCACUGAGCUGCGCGUGGACUCCAACCUCUACAUCCUGCUGUUUGGGGAGAGCGUGCUGAAUGAUGCCGUGGCCAUCGUCCUGACCUAUGCCAUAUCGACCUACAGUCAGUCGGGGGGGCAUCACUCCUUCAGUGCAUCUGCUUUCUUUCUCUCCAUCGGUCAUUUCAUCGCAGUGUUCAUUGGCUCCGUCUUCAUCGGCUUCUCUUUUACCAUCAUCACUGCCCUGUUGACCAAGUUCACAAGGCUGUCUGACUUCCCACUAUUGGAGACAGGCCUAUUCUUCCUCCUCUCCUGGAGUGCCUUCCUGUCAGCAGAGGCCUGUGGGAUGACGGGCAUUGUGGCCGUGCUGUUCUGUGGGAUCACGCAGGCUCGCUACACCUUCCACAACCUGAGCGCUGAGGCCAGAACCAGAACCAAACAGCUCUUUGAAUUCUUGAACUUCCUUGGAGAAAAUUUCAUUUUCUGCUACAUGGGCCUGGCGCUGUUCACAUUCCAGAUUAAUGACUUCAAAGGCAUCUUCAUAUUGGGGGCUUUUCUCUCCAUCUUCCUGGCAAGGGCGUGCAACAUCUACCCGCUGUCUUUCCUGCUCAACCUCGGCCGCAGGGAGAAGAUCCCUCUCAACAUUCAGCACAUGAUGAUGUUUUCAGGUUUGCGUGGCGCGGUGGCCUUUGCCCUGGCGGUGAGGGACACCUGCACCAUCGCCCGCCGGACCAUUCUGAGCACCACCCUCCUGCUGGUCCUCUUCACCGUCUGGGUGCUGGGCGGUGGCACCUGCCCAAUGCUGGCCUGGCUGGACAUCAGAGUGGGAGUAGAUCCUGAUGAAGACAAAGUGGGACAGGCCUCACACCAGACUGCCGGGGAGGGGACGCCAGCGUAUGCGGCCAACACAGCUGACACCCAGACCCCAGCCUCCCACACACCUGGAGUCUGGUACAACCUGGACAAAAUUUACGUUAGGCCUGCACUGACCCACUCUGGCCCUCCCCUGACCUCUACUCUGCCAUCGUGGUGUGCGCCUCUGGGAAAACUACUGACCAGUCCACAAGCAUACGAGAACGUGGAGCGGCUAAAUGACGUGGGGGCCGGCUGCAGCUCGGUGAAGCUGGACAAUGCAGGGGAAGAUGGAAGGGCAACAGAGGGCGAUGCAGAGAUGGUCACUGAGCCUGCACACCAAGAUGACCUACUAGAGGGGGACCUCGGGCUGGGACACAGUGCUGACCCCGUUUGGAAAGAGUGACAGCCACGUCCAUUAACGAGAGCAAUCAGGAACAGCGCUCCUCCCUGAAGAGGAACUGGCGCCGUGGGCUAUGCAUAGCAAAUUGUGGUCACUCACUCACGGACAACCUUUGAGGGACGUUUUGUGGGACGCAUGCGCAGGUGGUGCCAGCUAAAAUGUGUCUGCGGAAGUGAGUCGCGCCAUGGGUCUGGACGGUUCCGUGGUUGUUACAGAUUUCUUUCCCUACUCUAAGCCAAACAAAUGGUAUAUUCCUAUAGGAUUCUUCAGAAAUUGCCAUGUUCCUAUAGUUCUUGUAAAAUAUUUAUUGAACAUUUCUCCUGCUUUCAUAAAUAAUUUAAAUUUAUUCCAUUGAAUUUAGCAGCUAAUGUUAGUUUAGUCCUUAUUUUACUUUGCAUGAGAGUACUUAGAUAUUGUGCAAAAUAUUAGCAGUAUCUGUGGGGUUUAUGUUUAUCACAUCAAAUUUCACAACAAAUUUGUUUUGUUCACCUUCUUAAUAAAAGUGGUUGCCAUCAA